UUAAUUUGGAUCCGAACCUUAUAAAUAUGACUCGAGAUAUGCUGAUUCAAUCCUCCAAUCAAAUCAAAUCUGAUAUACUAUUGAUUACUAUUUUGGACAGCAAUAACCUCACGAGGGAGAACCUCAGAACCAAUUGUCAGGAUAUAUAUUAUCAAAACAUGAAUAGUGCAUUGAUAAGUAAUUAUUAAGUCAACGAAUUCACACAUGCAUUUUUAAUUCUAAAUUAGG
rnacentral:lncRNA from 1 species